rnacentral:sRNA from 1 species
GGAGAGUUUGGACUUUAGACUUCAUCUUCGCUAUGAAUUUCUGAUGUUAGGAAUUCAACCUGUAAUAGAUAAAUUAAGGGAACACGAAAAUUCAACAUUAGAUAGGCAUUUAGACUUUUUUGAAAUGCUCCGAAAUGAAGAUGAACUAGAAUUUGCCAAAAGAUUUGAACUGGUUCACAUAGACACAAAAAGUGCAACUCAGAUGUUUGAGCUGACCAGGAAGAGGCUGACACAUAGUGAAGCUUACCCGCAUUUCAUGUCCAUCCUGCACCACUGCCUCCAAAUGCCUUGUAAGUGUGUUCGUGACUCACAUGUGUGCUUCUGAAUG